AACGAACGCUGGCGGCGUGGAUAAGACAUGCAAGUCGAACGGGAACUCUCUUGGUAGCAAUACCGAAAGAGUUUCAGUGGCGAACGGGUGCGUAACACGUGGGCAAUCUGCCGAGAAGUGGGGGAGUAGCUCGCCGAAAGGACGAAUUAAUACCGCAUAUGAUCAGAGGGGACGAUCCCUUCCGACAUCAAAGACCGGGGCGAACCUGGCGCUUUUGUAGGAGGCCCGCCGGCCAUCAGCUAGUUGGUGAGGUAACGGCUCACCAAGGCUAUGACGGGUAGGCUGGUCUGAGAGGACGACCAGUCACACUGGAAC
rnacentral:rRNA from 1 species